rnacentral:rRNA from 1 species
ACUCCUGCGGGAGGCAGCAGUGGGGAAUAUUGCACAAUGGGCGCAAGCCUGAUGCAGCCAUGCCGCGUGUAUGAAGAAGGCCUUCGGGUUGUAAAGUACUUUCAGCGGGGAGGAAGGCGAUAAGGUUAAUAACCUUGUCGAUUGACGUUACCCGCAGAAGAAGCACCGGCUAACUCCGUGCCAGCAGCCGCGGUAAUACGGAGGGUGCAAGCGUUAAUCGGAAUUACUGGGCGUAAAGCGCACGCAGGCGGUCUGUCAAGUCGGAUGUGAAAUCCCCGGGCUCAACCUGGGAACUGCAUUCGAAACUGGCAGGCUAGAGUCUUGUAGAGGGGGGUAGAAUUCCAGGUGUAGCGGUGAAAUGCGUAGAGAUCUGGAGGAAUACCGGUGGCGAAGGCGGCCCCCUGGACAAAGACUGACGCUCAGGUGCGAAAGCGUGGGGAGCAAACAGGAUUAGAAACCCCGGUAGUCCC